AUUGAACGCUGGCGGCAGGCCUAACACAUGCAAGUCGAGCGGCAGCGGGAAAGUAGCUUGCUACUUUUGCCGGCGAGCGGCGGACGGGUGAGUAAUGCCUGGGAAAUUGCCCAGUCGAGGGGGAUAACAGUUGGAAACGACUGCUAAUACCGCAUACGCCCUACGGGGGAAAGCAGGGGACCUUCGGGCCUUGCGCGAUUGGAUAUGCCCAGGUGGGAUUAGCUAGUUGGUGAGGUAAUGGCUAACCAAGGCGACGAUCCCUAGCCGGUCUGGGAGGCUGAUCAGCCACACUGGAACUGAGACACGGUCCAGACUCCUACGGGAGGCAGCAGUGGGGAAUAUUGCACAAUGGGGGAAACCCUGAUGCAGCCAUGCCGCGUGUGUGAAGAAGGCCUUCGGGUUGUAAAGCACUUUCAGCGAGGAGGAAAGGUUGAUGCCUAAUACGUAUCAACUGUGACGUUACUCGCAGAAGAAGCACCGGCUAACUCCGUGCCAGCAGCCGCCGUAAAAC
rnacentral:rRNA from 1 species